GUGAGCUGUACCCGUCCCAAGCCUCCCAGAAAGGUCCCCGAGUCACCUCAUAAGGUUGGAAGUAGUUCUUUUGUUCAUAGUGUACCUUGCUUAUGGAUAUGAUGAUGGCAGUGCUCUAUCAUACAUUCUUCUUACAAUUACCAGUUGGUUCAUGGCACUUUCUUGACUUUUUGCUCCCUAUUUGUUCAACCCAUGCCCAUCUGGGUUUGAGUGGCAGAAGUAAGUGUCUUAAGAGGAUUCCUAUCAUUUUAAGGGUUUCAAAAGAAUCCCAUUUUGGGCAGUUUGGUAAUCAAAUCUGGGAGUUAACACUGAGUACUAAUGGAAUUGAUAUAUUUGUCUUAAGCUGAAAGAUUGGUGGGCAUUUGGGUGAAGUUUGCUUAGUCUACGUUACGUGAAAUUGAAAGAACUUUUUGUUUAUGGGGAGCGCAAAUGUUUCCAAAGAUUGAUUGGAAUACUAUUGCAGUUGAGAUUAUUGAUUUGCUGGGUAUUUGAAAACAGAGAGAUAAAGUCAUUUAUAUGAGAUAUUGAAAGCUUGGAUGAAGUGAAGAAGAGGUUCAAGGAAGAGUAGCUGUUUAGCCUUUAGUGAUAUUGUUCUCAAUGUUGUUCUUGUGUUUUAAUGUAUGAAUGAUUGAUAAAUACUAUG